rnacentral:sRNA from 1 species
CUCUUCGGCUGGACGGAGGCUGCCUCCUCACGCGGCUCCCAACUAUUCCCGUAGCUCAGUGCCCCCCUCCCGCCGCUCUACUCAGCCAGGCAGACAGACUGACAGACUCGCUAGUCGGCAGCUUCACUCCCGAGGGUGCCGCGAGCCCAGGCGGCGAACACCCGGUACCCCUGGCGCAGAGAGGUGGGAUGCUGUACGGACAGCAGCGCUAAGUGCCCCCCACCCCCGGCGCGGGGUGCACUCGCUCCUGGCCGCGGGCCCAGCGGCGGCGGCGGCGGAGGGGAUGAGCCCGGGACGCGCGAGGCGCCUGCCUCAAGCUACCGCCCGGAGAGGGACGCCGAGUAGGGCUCAUCGCAGUACCGCGCGGACCCCUGCCCCCCGUGGCACGCGGCUGCGGAGCCUUGAAGCCGCGUCUGUGAUCAGGAUGCACUGGGCGCCUCGCAGCUGGUGAGGAUGCCCUGCUGCGCGGCCCUGCGCCCCCAGCCCCAGUCCCAGGUGGGCAAGACUGACUGGGCCCGGCUUCGGCCCCUCGUGCCGGUGGAUGAAACGUGCCGGAGUGCUUGGGUGCCAUCAGCUAUCAAAUCUGAAUUCUAAGCGCCAUGGACGAAGGCACUGGACUGCAGCCCGGGGCGGGAGAGCAGCUGGAGGCGCCGGCCACUGCAGAAGCUGUCCAGGAGAGGUGCGAGCCGGAGACCUUCAGGUCUAAGAGUUUACCGGUCCUCAGCAGCGCCUCCUGCCGGCCAAGCCUCAGUCCCACUAGUGGAGACGCCAACACGGCCUUUGGCUGUGUGGAUUCUUCGGGCCACCAGGAGUUGAAGCAAGGCCCGAACCCGUUGGCCCCCAGUCCCUCUGCCCCGUCCACUUCGGCGGGGCUCGGGGACUGUAACCACAGGGUGGACCUCAGCAAAACCUUCUCGGUGUCCUCCGCCUUGGCCAUGCUCCAGGAGAGAAGGUGCCUCUAUGUGGUCCUCACGGAUUCCCGUUGCUUCCUGGUGUGCAUGUGCUUUCUGACCUUCAUCCAGGCGUUAAUGGUCUCUGGGUACCUGAGCAGCGUAAUUACCACCAUUGAAAGGCGCUACAGUCUGAAGAGUUCCGAGUCGGGGCUGCUGGUCAGCUGCUUUGACAUCGGGAACCUGGUGGUGGUGGUGUUCGUCAGUUACUUCGGCGGCCGGGGUCGGCGGCCCCUGUGGCUGGCCGUGGGUGGACUCCUCAUCGCCUUCGGGGCAGCCCUCUUUGCCUUACCUCACUUCAUCUCGCCCCCCUACCAGAUCCAAGAGUUGAACGCCUCGGCCCCCAACGACGGCCUGUGUCAGGGUGGCAACUCCACCGCCACUUUGGAGCCUCCGGCCUGUCCGAAGGACUCGGGAGGAAAUAAUCACUGGGUCUACGUGGCUUUAUUCAUUUGCGCGCAGAUUCUCAUUGGAAUGGGCUCCACACCUAUUUAUACCCUGGGACCAACCUACAUAGAUGACAAUGUCAAGAAAGAAAACUCCUCCUUGUACCUAGCCAUCAUGUAUGUCAUGGGAGCACUUGGCCCUGCAGUGGGAUAUUUAUUAGGUGGACUUCUUAUUGGUUUUUAUGUUGAUCCCAGAAAUCCUGUUCACCUUGACCAGAAUGACCCUCGUUUCAUUGGAAACUGAUGACCUGGGUGGGCCCAGUGUAAUCAAAGGAAAGACGGAGUCAGGAGGGCAAGAAUCAAAGAAGGAGAUUCGAUGAUUAAAGCACAGGUUGGAGUGUUGUGCCUUGAAGAUGGAGGAAGGGGCUGCG